rnacentral:misc_RNA from 1 species
UAAGCUUUUGGCUACAUAAUGGGAAGCCCUCCCUCUCCUUAAACACCACCCCACCCACCUAAAUCAAUUAGAACAACAACUCCCCUUAUUUACAAGGAAGUUGUUGACUUUUUGAUGUGAUCACAGUAGUCCCUCACACUAAAGUGCUUUGGCUUGUGUCACUGAACCACAUUGAAGCUUUUCUUUUUCACUUGCUAAGUCAAAAUUUUUCCUAAGAUAUAUAUGAACAUUGUUAUUUGAUGCUAGAAAUAUAAGCUAGAUAUAUGCGUUGUCACUGGAAUAAUUGUUGGUUCAUUCUUAUCAUAAAUUUAAAGUACAGUCACCGAGGUAGCUUGAUAAUAAGAUAGUCGUAUGCUUGCUGAGAAAGAUGGAGAUACUAUGAUGAUUGUAAAUUAGAUCUAUUUGCAUUGACAAAUACAUGGUUCAUUGGAUGAAAGGAAUCAUGAUGAAUGAAAUAUUUCAUCUCAAGGUCAUUUCAUCACAUGAAAAAGCAUAAAGAAGCAAGAAAAAAAUAAGUUUAUUGUCCAUUUCCAUUCCUCCAAAGUUGUGGUGCUUUUGAAAGUUAUGGUAGAUUUUCUGUCUAGCAUAGUCAUUGGGACAAACAGAGGCUCUAGUUCUUCUUUGGUAGUCCUAAUUUUGUAGAGGAAUGGAUGAAGUUUUGCCUAAAGAGUGAAACUAUUUUUUUCCAUGUAUUUCUGCCUUUCCCAAUUUGUUCUUGUUCUCAAUUUAGCCCCCAACAUGAAUUUGUUCUUAUUUUGUAGCAAGCCACUUCUUGUUGACAGAGGUUUCAAUUUAUGAGAAGAUUUUUAUAUACCAUAUAUUUUACUAUGACUUUA